rnacentral:snRNA from 1 species
GUGUUUGCUUCGGCAACACAUUAAAAAUUAGAACAUACAGAGAAGAUUAACAUGGCCCCUGCACAAGGAUGACAUGCAAAUUUGUAAAGUAUUCUAUAUUUAA